rnacentral:rRNA from 1 species
CAGUCGCCGCGGUAAUACAGAGGGUGCGAGCGUUAAUCGGAUUUACUGGGCGUAAAGCGUGCGUAGGCGGCUUCUUAAGUCGGAUGUGAAAUCCCUAAGCUUAACUUAGGAAUUGCAUUCGAUACUGGGAAGCUAGAGUAUGGGAGAGGAUGGUAGAAUUCCAGGUGUAGCGGUGAAAUGCGUAGAGAUCUGGAGGAAUACCGAUGGCGAAGGCAGCCAUCUGGCCUAAUACUGACGCUGAGGUACGAAAGCAUGGAGAGCAAACAGGAUUAGAUACCCGUGUAGUCCCUGUCUCUUAUAC